GCCGAGCUGGCUCAAUCGGUAGAGCAUACGACUGUUGCUCUCAGGGUUUUGAGUUUAAGCCUCACGUUGGGUA
rnacentral:tRNA from 1 species